UCGCCUUCCUCUCGGGAAGACUUGUCCUGCUGCUCCAGCCAUAGUUGCCUGUGUUGGAAGCCAGGGGGCAUUUUUGUGUUUCCCGACCUCUUCCCAUCUUGGGCAGUGUCUCCUCCCAGAAGUUUUCCUUGACCUCAUUCUACCCGGGAUAGCUCAUGUACCUGUAGGGACGCGUGAAACCUGCCAGCUUGUGUCUCAGAGGGUUUGGCUCACGGGUCCUAAAGCUGGGGGGGACGCUGCAGCCUUGGAUCAGUGGGAUG